rfam:Pongo abelii chromosome 12.
UGUUAGGCUUUUUUCAAAGCUAUUUAAUAAAAAUAUGAAAAUUUUG